GAUAAUCAGGUGAGGUCACAAAGGCCCCUUCCCUCUGAACCAUCUCGCCAGGGUGAGUCUUCAGCUUACUCUUCUACAUUGCUGUUCAUCACCAAAGGAAGUCAGGACUGGAACUCACACAGGGCAGGAGGCAGGAGCUGAUGCAGAGGCCAUGGAGGGAUGUUACUUACUGGCUUGCUUCCCCUGGCUUGCUCAGCUUGCUUUCUUAUAGAACCCAGGACCACCAGCCCAGGGCACCACCCACAAUGGGCUGGGCCCUCCCCCCUUGAUCACUAAUUGAGAAAAUGCCUUACAGCUGGGUCUCAUGGAGGCAUUUCCUCAAGGGAGGCUCCCUCUUCUGUGAUAACUUCAGCUUGUGUCAAGUGGACACACGAAACCAGUCAGUACAGCUAUGAUCUCGUAUUUCUUAGCCAGGGUAUAAGAUUCAAAAGGGCCAAAAUCCUGAACUGAAGUUCCCAGAGACCUUAUAGAAUCCAUGCUGACAGGAACUUGUUAAAACUAACUCACACUAAACAGACGUGCUCAUCUCUGGUGUGAUGGGAGAGGCGUGCCCACGUUCUCCUCAACUGCUCUCCACCUUCUUUUUGAAUUUAUUCAUUACAUUUAUUUACUUAUGGGGUGUGUGUGUAUGUGUGUGUGUGUGUACGCAUGUGUACACCUCCUAACACACUAGCAAUGGUCCAAUGGAGAAAACCAGGAGCUCGAGUGAUUAUACUGAGGAGUAAGGAGAGGGAAGGCUGAGUGGAAGCAGGGCACUGGACAAAGUUGCUUUGUGACACAGCGUCCUUCACGACUGGUUCCGUUCCUUAAAGGAUGAGCUAGUAUGUUAGAAACGGUGAAGAGUGUGGUCAUGAAGUCUGGGCAGCCACAAGCCCUGCUGACACCUGCAAGGAUUUAACUUCAUGGUCAGCAGCAGUGCCUGCCUUAGAGUCACAGAAUCCUUGUUGGCUGGCCUCACCUUGGCAACUUGACACCCAGGGACACAAGAGGCUGUGUAGGGCUGAGCCUGUGCCCCGCCUGCGGCCACUCCUUGAUCUCUCAUUGGCCCAGGCAUCACAGAGUAAGUGUGGCUGUCACAGGUGUCACACAGCCCCCAUGUGAUGAUGGGCCUUACCGCACUCACCAAGCUCCUCAUCACUUGCCUUGUGAUACCAAUGGGUUGGUUUCUUUGUUUUUUAAAGAGAGAUCUGCCAGUCCUACUUUAAUGCUGCUGCGAUAAGAGGCAUGUGCCACCACCCCAGGACAGCAUCCUGAGCAGGAAGGAGCCACCACUCCAUGCUAAAGAAAAGCAUGCACCUCCUGCAAGUGCCACAGUGGCUGUCCAGCUCAGUGGGCAGGGAAGGCAUAGCCCUUUCCCAUACAAGGAGGACCUUCCACACCUCCGCCUCCUGCGCCUACGCUGAAGCUGCUGCGAGCUCACGACCAUGCCUGUCCCUCUUCAGCAGAUCUCACCUUCAAAGAUCUCCCCCUUCCUGAGUCCCCCUUUCCUGCUUCCACAUAGACUUUCUUCUGAUUUCCUCCAC